rnacentral:tRNA from 1 species
UCCCUGGUGGCUUAGAGGUAAAGAAUCUGCCUGCAGUGCAGGAGACCUGGGUUCGAUCCCUGGGUUGGGGA